CAGUCAGGAGGAUCAGCUGAGGCUUUUCUUCUCCUCUUAUCAUUGCAUCCUCUUCCUUCAAAGCCCCAGGGAAGAAGGCAUGCUGUGGGCUCUAGUCCUACUUCUAGCCACCCUGCUUCCUGGCAGUCAAACAUCUUCCAGUUUGGAAGGGAGAAUGAUGUCAGUCACGAGUUCACCUGGGUCAUAUGUGGUAAUCACUUGUGAUUUAGCAAGUACCUACAUCCACUGGUAUCAAUUCAAAGAAGGGCUAGCCCCACGACGCCUUCUCUACUAUGAUUUUGUAAAUUCCAAAGUUGUACGGGAUUCAGAAAGCACUUUGGUAAAAUAUGAUGCUUAUAAAGGCACAGAUGGGAGAUGUAAAUUAGCAAUACGAAAUGUGGAGGAAAGUGACUGUGCUGUGUAUUACUGUGCCUACUGGACUAGCACAGUGGUUCAGACCUGUCUUUAUCUGUACUCAAAAGGUUGCUAUGUCUGCUCCUUGGUACACAAUUAG